GAUGAACGCUGGCUACAGGCUUAACACAUGCAAGUCGAGGGGAAACGGCAUUGAGUGCUUGCACUGAAUGGAUGUCGACCGGCGCACGGGUGAGUAACGCGUAUCCAACCUUCCCGUUACUGCGGGAUAACCUGCCGAAAGGCAGACUAAUACCGCAUGUUCUUCGAUGACGGCAUCAGAUUCGAAGCAAAGAUCCGUCGGUAACGGAGGGGGAUGCGUCUGAUUAGCUAGUUGGCGGGGCGACGGCCCACCAAGGCGACGAUCAGUAGGGGUUCUGAGAGGAAGGUCCCCCACGUUGGAACUGAGACACGGUCCAAACUCCUACGGGAGGCAGCAGUGAGGAAUAUUGGUCAAUGGGCGGAAGCCUGAACCAGCCAAGUAGCGUGCAGGAUGACGGCCCUACGGGUUGUAAACUGCUUUUAUGCGGGGAUAAAGUGAGGGACGCGUCCCUUUUUGCAGGUACCGCAUGAAUAAGGACCGGCUAAUUCCGUG
rnacentral:rRNA from 1 species